CGGAUUUAGCUCAGUGGUAGAGUGCUUGCCUAGCAAGCACAAGGCCCUGGGUUCGAUCCCCAGCUCCGA
rnacentral:tRNA from 1 species